AACGCACAUUGCGCCCGCCAGCAUUCUGGCGGGCAUGCCUGUUCGAGCGUCAUUUCAACCCUCGGUUUCCCUUUGGGGAAGUCGGCCGUUGGAGAUCGGCGAUCCAUAUCGGAUCGCCGGCUCCCAAAUUUAGUGGCGGCCCGUCCGCGGCGACCUCUGCGUAGUAACAACCACUCGCACCGGAGACCCGACGCUGGCCACGCCGUAAAACAACCCAAUUUCUGAAUGUUGACCUCGGAUCAGGUAGGAAUACCCGCUGAACUUAA
rnacentral:misc_RNA from 1 species